rnacentral:rRNA from 1 species
CCUACGGGUGGCAGCAGUGAGGAAUAUUGGUCAAUGGGCUUAAGCCUGAACCAGCCAAGUCGCGUGAGGGAAGACUGCCCUAUGGGUUGUAAACCUCUUUUGUCAGGGAGCAACGCCGGCUACGUGUAGCCGGACUGAGAGUCCCGGAAGAAAAAGCAUCGGCUAACUCCGGGCCAGCAGCCGCGGUAAUACGGGGGAUGCGAGCGUUAUCCGGAUUUAUUGGGUUUAAAGGGUGCGUAGGCGGGAUGCCAAGUCAGCGGGAAAAUCGGGGGGCUCAACCCCGCUCCGCCGUUGAACCUGGCGUUCUUGAGUGGGCGAGAAGUAUGCGGAAUGCGUGGUGUAGCGGUGAAAUGCAUAGAUAUCACGCAGAACUCCGAUUGCGAAGGCAGCAUACCGGCGCCCAACUGACGCUGAAGCACGAAAGCGUGGGUAUCGAACAGGAUUAGAUACCCGGGUAGUC